rnacentral:misc_RNA from 1 species
AAAAUAUGGCAAGUAGCAAAAUUCUUGCAAAUUAGUAUUGAAGACUGUUUCUGAAUAGGCUCAAGUUAUUUUUAUUGUGCAAGUGCAGGUCUUUGAUAUUGAAACAUAAAAAUAAAAUUUUCUUAUCAUUUUUAAUCUUUAGUUGGCAGUUUGCUUUUUGUUGCCACUAUCCUGUGGAAAAUUUAAAUAAUGCAUUUCCUGUUACACUUUUUCUCAAUCAAGGGUUCCUGUAUGGCGG